rnacentral:rRNA from 1 species
AGAGUUGAUCCUGGCUCAGGAUUAACGCUGGCGGCGUGCCUAAUACAUGCAAGUCGAAUGGUAGCAAUACCAUGGCGAACGGGUGAGUAACACGUAGGUAACCUGUCUUUAAGACGAGGAUAACCGAUGGAAACGUCGGAUAAUACUCGAUAGGUGAUUUGAAGGCAUCUUUGGAUCAUUAAAGAUUUAUCACUUAGAGAGGGGCCUGCGGCGCAUUAGCUAGAUGGCGGUGUAAUGGACCACCAUGGCGAUGAUGCGUAGCCGGACUGAGAGGUUGAACGGCCACAAUGGAACUGAGAACGGUCCAUACUCCUACGGGAGGCAGCAGUAGGGAAUUUUCGGCAAUGGGCGAAAGCCUGAACCCGAGCAACGCCGCGUGAACGAAGAAGUAUUUCGGUAUGUAAAGUUCUUUUAUUAGGGAAGAAAAUAAUCAAAUUGACGGUACCUAAUGAAUAAGCUCCGGCUAACUACGUGCCAGCAGCCGC